rnacentral:misc_RNA from 1 species
AAUUCUCAAAACCCAUUUCUUUUGGUCAUUUUUGACCAUGGAAAGGAUUUUGGACUUGGAGGCCUUUUGCUGGUUUCACCUUGAAGCGAGCUCCUCCCAAACGUAUUAGUGGGGUCCGCAUCGUCGGUCCUUGGCGUGAUAAGUCGUUUCUACGUCUUGGAUCUUUGGCGCUGUACACCUGCUUCUAACCGUCUCAUUGACAACGAUGGUGUUCCGGUCACCGCCGAUUUAUCGGUGGGAGGCUUGACCCACAAAACAAA